GACGAACGCUGGCGGCGUGCCUAAUACAUGCAAGUAGAACGCUGAAGGAGGAGCUUGCUUCUCCGGAUGAGUUGCGAACGGGUGAGUAACGCGUAGGUAACCUGCCUGGUAGCGGGGGAUAACUAUUGGAAACGAUAGCUAAUACCGCAUAAGAGUAGAUGUUGCAUGACAUUUGCUUAAAAGGUGCAAUUGCAUCACUACCAGAUGGACCUGCGUUGUAUUAGCUAGUUGGUGGGGUAACGGCUCACCAAGGCGACGAUACAUAGCCGACCUGAGAGGGUGAUCGGCCACACUGGGACUGAGACACGGCCCAGACUCCUACGGGAGGCAGCAGUAGGGAAUCUUCGGCAAUGGACGGAAGUCUGACCGAGCAACGCCGCGUGAGUGAAGAAGGUUUUCGGAUCGUAAAGCUCUGUUGUAAGAGAAGAACGAGUGUGAGAGUGGAAAGUUUCACACUGUGACGG
rnacentral:rRNA from 1 species